rnacentral:lncRNA from 1 species
AGUUUAAGAUGUAUCAGCUACACUCUUACCUCUCUGAUGGCUUUGAAACAGAUGUGCUGCUGAAUAUGGAGACUUGAUGCUACUUCACAAGGAUUUGAAUUGUGCACUCGAAAGACUUGAAGAGGAACAUCACCUGGUUCUGGGAGAUGAAGAUACAAGCUGUGCAAGUAGACCCCAGUUUUUGGAAGCAUUAUAAAACGUGUGGUUUGCUGACUACUCCACUUAGUGAGGAGGCACCACAGCUGGGCUAGGACCAUGGAAACAAGCUGCUCUGGGCACCCACCACUGAAGAACUGAAGACUGAGGACCAAUGGGACGCCGCUGGAUCCAUGGUGGCUUUGGGAGAUGAAGCUAUAAGCUGUGCAAGGGUGCCCUAGAUGGAGGGUUCCUGUGCCUCCAGCAUGAGCAGCUGUUUCACCUGUUACUGAUGUUUAUGAACACAAGGCUUUCCUAAUUGCAGGCUUCUGAGGCAUUUCUCAUUGUGAUGGCUGCUGCAGUGGAGCCGUGGGGUGAUGCGGUUGGUGGUGCUACCAGCAGAAAUUUGAGAAUGGGAGAACUGCUGGAUGCUCUGACAUCUGCUUGAGUGAAGCUUGCGGGCAGUUUGUGUGAAAAACAAGACUAACAUGUCUGAGGGAAGGAUCGUGCUGUCUGCAACCUCACUGGGUAAGGAGGAGGCAGCUUUGAAACUACUGCAAGAAGAACUGAGAAGGUGGAAGACUGACGAACGAUGGGUUACACUUGCAUGAACAGCAUUAAAAAGCGAAGAGGUUUUUUACCACACUGGUAAUGUUUGCUUGAUACUGAUUG